CUCCCUUUUAAAUUCUUUAUUAAAAUACUUCCUUUCCAUGGUGAGAAUUAUUUCCGUUAUGCUUUUUGGACUUGUGAAUCUUUAUCAGAGUCUUGAUGUACCAGAGUUAUUCUUCAGAGGGUGAUCACGUCUGACUUCAUCAGAGCUUCUCAGAGUACUAGUCUUCUUGAUCAUCAGAGUCUAAGAACAAUAAUUUGUUGGAGCUUCUGAUUCUUUUUACUGUCUUUCUUUGAUCAGAAUCAGAACUUCUUGGACGUACUUCUUCCUUAGCGGCGUCUGAUCCUCUAGCACUUUGUAUCUAACACAUGUUUGUAUCUGAUGAAAGAUCAUAAACCUUCGCUAUUGUUCAGAGUCCUGCAUGAAUGUUUAGAGUCCUGCAUACUUAGAAAAAUUCUCGUUAGAGUGCCAUUUUUGGUUUCAUCCUUUGUUAUCAUCAAAAUCUCAGAAAUCUAUUGUAGAACCAAUUUUUUUCUUACAAUCUCCCCCUUUUUGAUGAUGACAAAACAAUUUAAGUUAGAAAUGAAACAUUUUCAGAAAAGAGUCUUAGAUUAGAUUUGUAGUGAGCUCCCCCUGAGUUAGAUUUGGGAGUUCAGAAGUUCUUACCGGACCUUCCACGAUUUGGUGUUUCUAGCUACUUUCCUGCAUAACUUUAAGUCAUAUUUAGAGACAAUGUUUGUAGAGAUUGAAAGGAAAUUAGAUAUGUUUUCAUCAGAGUUGUUUUUAGUUCUCCCCCUUUUUUUCAGAAUCAAAAAGACUUAGUAAAAAUAUUAGCAAAAUAUUGAUAUAUACAGGUAACAGUUACAGAAGCCAGAAGCACAGAAAGCAAACAUGGAAAAAAGAAGCAACAAGCAAAUCAGAUAAGGCAAAAAGCACAUCAGAAAGAACAAAAAAAGCCUAGGUGCCUAAGGGUUUGGAGGAGGAGGCAUCCUCUAGAGCAGCUGGGACAACAUGUUCUGAAUGUUGGCAUUGACAAAAUCCUGUUGGUCCAGUCUGGCUCGAACUACCUAUUGUUCUUUCUGCAGCUCUUCAAGGGUCUUCAGGACCAGAGGAACGAAGGUGGAGGACUCCCCCUGAGUCAAUGCAUCAUUUCUGGCAGCAGACUUUUCAGCAAGACGAGUUGCUUCUUUAGCGGCAACUUUGGCUUUUGCCUCAGUUGGAGCUUUGGCCUCGGCUUCUUUGAUACUCUGAAGUUCUUCUUGCCUUGCUUUCUCUUUAGCUUCCUUUCUUGCCCACUUCUCAGAUUCUCUGGCUAGACGCUCCUGGAGUCUGAUCUCAGCGUCUCUGAUGAAGUCAUUGUGGACUUGUUCAGAGAGGCCUUUCAGCUUGAAGGCUUCAGAAGUCAUCCAACUUAUCACUAUGUUCCAGUGAGUCCUUAUAGCGGAGGGAUCAUCACUGAUGCCAGAGUUGAUGGUCAGAGACCUGACCUUGUCAACUGAAGCUUCUGCAAACAUCUUAAUUGCUUCCUCAAGGGUCAGUAGGGUGUUUUCUGGUUCAGAGGCUUGGGAUGGAGAAGUGGGGGGCUUAAGUUAAGAGUGGGAGUUGGUGGGUCAGCGGAGGUAGUUGGUUGGGGUAUUUUAGAGUGUUGUGGUUGGGAUGGUUGUGAUUCAGAGUGGAUUGGUUUGGAUGGUGGAGGGUCAGAGGUGGUUGUGUUUGGGUUUUCUGUGGGUGGAGAGGUAACUUCUGGUUCAGGGUUAGAUUGUGUUGGCUGUUGAGAGGCCAGAGCAUGGUUUUGAAGCUGAGCCAGAGUUGUGGAGUGAGGGUCAGAGGGUUCAGUCUCAGAUGAGAGGGUGUAAUAAGGUGGGGAUUAUGGAGAUGAUGAUGAGGAGGGUGAAGUGGUUUCGUUCAGCAUUUCCGCUUCUGAAAUGGGUAGAGAUAUGGUGGCAAGAUUGAAUUUUUGAGAAGGUUGGUUAGAUGGUCUAGAGGUUAAGGGAGGAGUUUAAGAGUUUGUGUAUAUGGGCGAAGGUUGAGGGAGUGAGGAAGCAACUGGUUUAACUUUUACAGAAUGAGGGAGAGGUACAGACUUACCAGGUGAUCCAACCAGAGGUACUGGAGGUCUUGAUCCAGAUGGUUCUCCCAACUUUUCUCUCCUCGCCUGCUUUGUCUUCUCAGAUGGUUCUCGUGUCCUCUUCAUGAAAUCUGGAGGAAAUUCGGGCAGCCAAUCUAAGGAGAAAUCUGAGAUGUCUACUCCUUGUUUGCGCAGAUCAUCUAAGUAGUACAUGACUACCUCUGGAGGGUCGAUAUUUGAGAACAAAUAGAGUCUAUUUGGGAUCUUCCUCUGAUCUUUGAGUGCUUCCCAGGAGAUGUCCAAGGUUGGUUUGACCCUUAAUUGAUUAAUAAUUCCCAUGCUCUUCAGAUUGCGAGCGUUCAGAGGCCUUCCAGUGUCUAUCAUCACGUCUUCCAUGAGUUUGAGCUGUAUCAGAUGGUCCACGAGGCCACUUUCAAUCAGUACAUCAGAGAUAAGUCUCCCCAGAGGAAUGUAGUUUCUUGUCUUCAUGUUGUUUUUGGUAUCUUUCACGGAGUUUCUGAGAUAUUUGAAGAGGAGUGCAGGAAGGCAGAGCUUCAGACCCUUGUGAAUGCAGUACAGAAUGCAUUUCUGGUCUGUGUUGAUGUAAUCUGAGGAGUUUGAGGCUGGGCGAUGAUGGAUGGUGCCUAAGAUGAUCUUCAGCCAUACACGGAGGUUCUGAUGCAGUUCCUUGUUCUUGGAGUGAUUGCCUUCAGCACUCUAUUGAAAGAUUGUAGGGUUUAUCUCAUGGGACAGAUACUUUGCCCUAGGAUUGAUGUUGUAUAUGCGUCUUCCUCCAGCCUUCUCCAUGUUCAGAAGAGAAGCAAUUGAUUUUUCUGUGAUGACUAUCUUGACUCCCAGAACGUAGGAGACAAUGUAGUGAUCAUCAGCGUCAGCGAAUCUCCAGAAUUCUUUUACCAGAUUUGUGUAGACUAGGCCAUAGAGACGUUGGAAGUAGUUUUCCCACCCUUGCUUCUUCAGUUCAUCAGUGAGGUCGACACCAUUUCUUCUCAUGUUGUCAAAAUCCACCAACGUUUCACACAACACUUCCAGCUUUUCAAACAGUGUUGCAAGAUGGAUAUGAGGCUCACGAUCAAGAAUGUGAGGUUCUUUGUAAAUGGGAAAGGAGACGACGCCGGUGACUGCUGGGUUUUGAUGGCUUGAACUUGGAGCUUGCUCAUUCGAGUUCAUUUGUUGAGAGAAGUUAUACACAGACUGUUGUUGAGAAUCCAUGAAGAUUGUUGAUGAACUUGAGGUGAAAGUUGAAGAACUUGAGUAAUCACUGCAGAAAUGCCUUUGAGAGAGAGAGGAAAACUGAAGGAGAGGGUUAGGAGUAUUUGUGAGUGAAAAGUGUGCAAUUGUGAAAUGAAGCGUUUAAAUACCCAAAUUAGAGAGCAUGCCAAACGACACACAUAAUUGAGUUUAGCAUAAAAACCAAGUACGCACGUUAGAGGGAGAAUGAUUAUAGCUCAUAAAUGAUGUCUAAUCCCAAAAUCAGCACAUUGCUCGAGGAGAUCUCAAGAGACUGUUUCUUGAUUACUGCUAGACAGCUGUCUAGAAGUUCCAAGGUCAGACGCAUGAUGCUCCACGUGUUACUUUAUUUGAUCUUCAGAAAUACCAAAGGGUUGGUUCCUAGAGAUUUCUAACUCAGAUGACUUCUAACUGGUAGUAGCAUUAGAGUCAGAUACAGAAUCCAACUGUUUACAUCAGAGUCAUAUUUUGCUAUCUCAGAGGCACAUUUUAUUUAGGGCAAAUUUGAAUGUUCAGAUUCUUUAAGAUAAAGGAGAAUCUAUCUUCAGCAAGGGGUUUGGUAAAAAUGUCAGCCCAUUGAUAGUCUGUAUCUAUAAACUUUAACGUUACUACCCCUUUCUGAACAUAGUCUCUAAUAAAAUGAUGUUUUAUUUCUAUGUGCUUAGCUCUGGAGUGCAAAAUAGGAUUCUUACUUAAACAGAUGGCAGCAGUAUUGUCACAAAAGAUAGGAAUGUUACUCUCAAAGAUUUGAAGAUCCCCUAGUUGAUUCUUCAUCCAGAGCAUCUGAGUGGUGCAUAAUGAUGCUGAAAUAUAUUCUGCUUCUGCAGUGGACAAGGCUAUGGUUAAUUGUCUUUUGUUGGCCCAGGAUAUCAGAUUUUUCCCCAAGAGCUGACAAUUUCCAGAUGUACUCUUACGUUCCAUUCUGUCCCAUGCGUAAUCUGCAUCACAAUAACCAGAGAGUUUAUACUUUGAUGUUUUCUCAUACAUCAGGCCCAUGUUAGGAGUUCCUUUCAGAUAUCUAAGUAUUCUUUUAACAGUUAUUAAAUGAGAUUCUCUAGGAUUUGAUUGGAAUCUGGCAUAGAGACAAACACUAAACAAAAUAUCAGGACGUGUAGCAGUCAGAUAGAGAAGAGAGCCUAUCAUACCACGAUAGAGCUUCUGACAACCCUUCUGACUAACUUCUUAUUUUUCCAGAAUGCAAGCUGGGUGCAUGGGUGUCUUAGCAGGUUUGCAUUCCUCCAUUUCGAAUUUCUUCAGAAUGUCUUUUAUGUAUUUACUUUGAUGAACAUAGGUGGCUUCUGAAGCUUGAUUGAUUUGAAUUCCUAGAAAGAACUUUAGUUCUUGCAUUAAGCUCAUUUCAAAUUCAUUCUUCAGAAUGUCUUUUAUGUAUUUACUUUGAUGAACAUAGGUGGCUUCUGAAGCUUGAUUGAUUUGAAUUCCUAGAAAGAACUUUAGUUCUUGCAUUAAGCUCAUUUCAAAUUCUGCCUGCAUUAGCUCAGACAAUUCUUGACAUACAGAGGGGUUAGCUGAACCAAAAAUGAUGUCAUCAACAUAUAUCUGGCAUAUCAUGAGGUCAUUAUUAAUGUUUUUACAGAAGAGUGUAGAGUUAACUUUCCCUCUGAUAAAAUCAUGUUCCAGAAGAAAAUUACUUAGCCUUUCAUACCAAGCUCUAGGAGCUUGUUUUAGCCCGUAUAAAGAUUUCUUAAGUUUAAACACAUGUUUUGGACAAAUUGAAUUUUCAAAACCCGGAGGUUGAUUGACAUACACUUCUUUUGAUAUAUAGUCAUUAAGAAAUGCGCUCUUGACAUCCAUUUGAUAUAGUUUGAUAGAAUGAUUUACAGCGAAAGAAACAAGUAAGUGAAUAGAUUCUAACCUGGCGACUGGGGCAAAGGUUUCAUUGUAGUCAGUGCCUUCUUGUUAACUGUACCCUUGAGCCACCGGUCGAGCUUUAUUUCUGACGACUUCGCCUUUCUCAUUUAGCUUGUUUCUGAACACCCAUCUUGUUCCAAUAAUGUGAGUGCCUUUGGGUUUAGGAACAAGAUCCUAGACGUCAUUCUUUGUGAAUUGAUCUAGCUCUUCUUGCAUGGCUAGAACCCAAUCGUCAUCUUGAAGUGCCUCAUCACAGGAAGUAGGCUCGAUCAGAGAUACUAGUCCCAGAGGGGUUUCUUCAAGUACCUUGAAGGUUGACCUAGUUCGGAUAGGUUCAUCCUUGUUUCCCAGAAUCAACUCUUCAGAUAUGUUGGGGUGACUUUUUGAUUUCUUUUGGAUCGUUGGGGAUUUAGUUCCUUCUGAACUUUGUAUAUCAGAUACUUCUGGUGCUUUUAUCUUCUCGUCAGAACUUGCAAGAGUAAUCUCCAGAUCUGCAAGUUUCUCAUCUAGCUUUGACUUUUCAGGGUCAAGCUUAUCAUCAAAUCUGACGUGAAUUGAUUCUUCCAUAAUUUUGGUUUCUGUAUUGUAUACUCUGUAGCCUUUAGAGCAUUCUGAGUAUCCUAACAUAAUACCUUUUUGUGCCUUUGAAUCGAACUUGUUCAGAUGUUCUUUAGUAUUCAGAAUAAAGCAAGAGCAUCCAAAAGGAUGAAAAUAAGAAAUGUUGGGUUUUCUUCCUUUACACAGUUCAUAGGGAGUCUUUUCCAGAAUAGGUCUUAUGGACUUAUGGAGAUUCUAUUCUGAAUAUAACACGCUGUAUUUACUGCUUCAGCCCAAAAGUGCUUAGCCACAUUUGUUUCAUUGAUCAUGGUUCUGGCCAUCUCUUGGAGUGUCCUAUUCUUCCUUUCUAUAACUCCAUUUUGUUGUGGAGUUCUAGGACAUGAGAAAUCAUGGGAUAUUCCAUUAGAGUCAAAUAAUUCUUCAAAAAAUUUAUUUUCAAAUUCUCCACCAUGAUCACUUCUGACUCUGAUGAUUUUAGAGUCAAAUUUGUUUUUCACUUUGGAACAGAAGUUAGUGAAUACAAAGUGAGACUCACUCUUGUGCUUUAAGAAUUUUACCCAUGUCCAGCGACUAAAAUCAUCAACAAUAACUAGUCCAUAUUUCUUUCCAUUGACUGAUGCUGUUUUAACAGGACCAAACAGAUCAAUGUGAAGAAGUUCCAGAGGCUUAGAGGUAGAAACAAUAUUUUUCUUUUUAAAAGAUGAUUUUGAAAAUUUUCCUUUCUGACAUGCUUCACAUAGAGCAUCUAAAGAAAACUUCAGCUUGGGUAGACCUCUGACUAGCUCGUGUUUAUUUAGCUGAGAUAACUUUCUCAUGCUAAUGUGGCCCAAGCGUCUAUGCCAUACCCAUUGCUCUUCAUGAACAGACAUUAAACAUUUUACAUUUUGUUCUUUUAAAUCUGAAAGAUUUAUUUUAUAAAUAUUGUUUUCCUCUUGCCAUUGAAUAGGACUGUUCCAUUGUUCUGAUUAUUGCUUUACAUGUUUUUGAUUGAAGAUUACAUCAUACUGUCGCAUCUCGAAAAAACGAUUCCCGCAUGGUCGCGGAAAAAUUACGUUGAACAAAGUCGCACCGAACUUUAUUUAUCCCAAUGAAGGAUAGGGAAUAUCGAAACCUUUAGGAAAUGGAAUAAUGGUCGUCGCAACCAUAUUCGGGUUCGGGAGUGGAUUACGCAAGAGGAAGGUAUUAGCACCCCUCGCGUCCGUUGUACUCAACGGGAACCUUUUAGUUCUAAUUUACAUUUCAAGUGUUAAUUUAUGUUUGUUUGUUAUCUUUGGGUUAUAAAAUUAUUAAAAAUAGAAAUGGAUGAGAACCUCAGAAAGGGAAAGGGGAGGUUUUUUAUUAGUGUGCUCGCGAAGAUACAACAAUCUCUUGCCUACGUAUCCUUAAAUAAGGAAAUCAGAGCAUUCGUAGUUCGGGGAACUACGGUUGGUUGGUGUCUUUUAGUGAACAACCGUUUAGAUCGCGUCCUAAAGGCUAAACGUUGGCUUGUCUACUCUCGGCGGAGGCUUAAGCACUAGUUUGUCAUGCGCAUUAGAAAGGAUUAAAUGGUGUUCUUUUUGAAAAUAGUUUUGGUCACACGGGGGUGACAAGUUGAGUUGAUAUGUUUGAUGUUUUGUUUGAUUGGUUCUGGUCGCACGAGGGCGAGAAAAGGAUAGACUUGAUGUGUUGGGAUGUUUUUUGUUGUAUGACGAUUACUCGGAUAGUCGAGUAAGACAACUCGUAUCCUAAUAAUCGGGAAAGGGAAUAGAAGACUCUAGACCGCCUUUUUUUCAUCCUUAAUUGUAAAAGGAUUUUAAUGAUAAUUAAUGUGUUUUGACUGGAUGACGAAUACUCGGAUAAUCGAGUAAGACAACUCGUAUCCUAAUAUUCGGGAAAGGGGAUAGAAGACUCUAGACCACUUUCUUUUUCAUCUAAGUGAUUAUAAAAAUAAGUUUAUGUAUGGUCGAUGUAUUUUAGAAUAAACGACAAGUACUUGAACGGCUGAGUAAGACAACUCAUAUCCAAGCAUUUGAGAAGAGGAAUUGAAAACUCAAGACCAUCUCCCUUUUCGUAUAGUUUUGAUUGACAAUGAUUUGACUUACGGUAAGAGUCGGCGGAAAAGUGACAAUUGUUCGAUUGGCCGAGUAAGAGAACUCGUAUUCAAACAAUUGGGGAGAGAAGUUGAAAACUCAAAGUCAUCUCCCUUUUCAUUUAACUUAUUAUGAAAAUAAUCCGAUUUAAUCGGAGUUUGGAAGUUGGUAUAGGAAUGACAAUUAUUUGACUAACCAAGUAAGAGAACUUGUAUUCAAAUAAUCGAGGAGAAAAAUUGAAGACUCAAAGUCAUCUCCUUUUUCAUUUCUUUAUUAUGAGAAUAAAUUGAUUUAAUUGUGUUUAGGUGAUUUAGCAAUGACGAUUAUUUGACUAACCGAGUAAGAGAACUCGUAUUCGAAUAAUCGAGAGGAGGAGUUGAAAACUCAAAACCAUCCCCCUUUUUAUUUCCAAAUGACAUAGCAUUUAAUUUAAUUUAAAAAUACUCGAUGUUGGAUCGAGGUUUGAAUUUGUGUUUGCGAAUAAAUUGGAUUACUUUGGUGUAUCAACCAUCUACUUGAUUAAUUAAUAACCGAAUAAGUCUCAUUGUAAGAAAGCCCAAGAGUAAGCUGUGUCAGGUUGAUGGCGAUGCUUUAAAAGCGAUCGACUUACAAAGGUGUAUGAAAAUGGGCUUCAGGUUAAAUCAAGAAUUGUGUGGUUCUAGUGGUUUAAAGUGGUUUUGAAUGGAUGAUGAAAUUAAAUGAAACCAAACUUGUGUUAUUAAGUGAUAAUGAAACUGUGAGUGUGGAAUAAAAUCGGUCCACUUUUAAUUAACAAAAAUUGAUUAAAAUUCAAUUAAGUCGUCUAAUUAAGGUAAUUAAAAUUAAUUAUCAAAAUUGUUCGAUUAAAAAUUAAUAUAAUCAAAUACUUAAAUUAAUUAAAAUUAGUUAACAAAAUUAUCCAAUUUAACCCAAACUUUAAUAAGUGACAAUGUUGAAUAAAAAUUGAAUUGAAUCGGCCAACGUGUGCUCAUAAACCGGUUUGUACAUAGCGACAACGGAGUUAGAAUGUCGUAUGUAAAGAUCGAAACGCGGUAAAAUAUCAUAUUGAUGUAUUGUAUCUUUGGUGGCAUAAUGGUAUGAAAUUACCGAAUUCACAGACUAAAAAUUCGAUUUAUUGUAAUAAAUAACAACAACGAAAAAUAAUCGAUUUAUUUACAAAAUUACCAAAUUGAUUAUAAUGUACCAAGGGUGCAAAAAGAACAUACAUCAACUUACCACAUACUCGAACCAAUAAAACAUUAAAAUCUUAAUUAACUUAAAGCAAAAAUUGGUGAUAAAUACAUAAUUAAAAUGGAUGAAAGAAAUUAUUUAAGCUUGUGGAAAAGAAACUUGUUUCUAAAAGAAACAAUCAUUAAAAGUAACAAUAAUAAAGUUAACAGGUUCAUGAUAACGUGUAUUUUCCAAUGAAUAUAAGGGAUUCUCCCUUUGUAACACCAACCACCCUUCAUUGAUACGGAAAACAAAAAAUAAAAGGUUAGAUCUAAAAUUUAAUCUAGAAAAAAAAAGCACUUAAUGGCUAGGGGAGAAAGAGUAACACAACGACAGUUUUGACAGAGGAAGGCACAAUAUGAACAGUAAAAUCGGAACCUAGCAUUCUAAAAACAAAGCUCAAACAAAACAUCCAGUUUUUAAUACGAGCAGUAAAACGGGAACCUAGCAUUCUAAAAAAAACAAAACUCAAACACAAAAUAAGACAUAACGAUACACCUCAAAGCGAAAUAUUACCGAAAAAGAUGUUGUUCAAAUAGUGCAACAGUGAGGCUCUUGUGUGCUAUAGAUCAUACCAAAACUCUGAUAGGAAUGUCAAGUUUCGGCUUGCUCGGCGACGUUAUGGUGGCGGUAGAAUGGUCGAUGGUCGUGUCGUUGUGAGCGUGUUGUUGUUGUGUUCGGUUUCGGCGGAAGUUUUUGUGUAUCACAAUUGUAUAGAUGGUGCCGACAGUUGAAAAUGGUGGCCGGAGAUUGCUUAAUGGUGAAAGUUGGGGUUGUUUGUGUUUGUCGAAAACGGAACGGCGGAGGAAUAAGGGUGUAGACAACGGGUGCGAUCGGCGAUUUGGCGGCGAGUUGGUUUUGCGGCGUGGAUUGUCGCCGGUGAUGGUUUAUGAGGAAGGAGAAGUUCUUUUCUUUUCCUUUUUUCUUUUCCUUUUUUCUUUUCACAGAGAGAGUGAGUGGUAGUGAGGUGAGUGAGAGUGAUCUUUUUUUAAGAAGAAGAGGCGUGUCCCUUUAUUUCUUGUUUUUGUUUCUUUCUUUAUCCUGUCAGAGUAACGUGUGAGAGAGUGUAGUGUGUGGGUGUGUCUAAGAGGAAACGUGAGGGAGAGAGGAAAGAUAGAGUGGGCAGUCUGAAUACCAGACGUAAAAAGAAGAAUCCAAUGCUAAUCUCAUUUUUUUUUUAAAACAACUACCAUUAUUUAAAAUUUCCUAUUAAAAAUUUCUAAUAAGUAUUUUGAAUAAAUUUUAAUUACUUUAGUUGAAUAAUUAACCUAAUAAAAUGAUCGAUUAUAAAUAAAAGUCGGAUAUAAAUUUGCUCGAAAAAUUAAAUCGGGCACACUAAAAUAAUCAGCACAAAAUAUACUUAUUGAAAAAAUACAGCGUUUCUUUAAAUUUUGAAAUAAAUUUGCACCGGUUAAAAGGCUCAGGCGGGUCAAAACGCAACUGAAACAGCUGCUGAAAAAUACAACGAGCACACCAGGUUAAACCAAAUGAACUGUAGAUUAAUAAUACUGGUCUCUGUAAUUUUAAUUCUGAAACUUUUUACCCGCUGAUUUUACAUGUUCCUGAGAAAAGAUUCAACCGAUUUGUCUGUAUUUUCAAUAAAUUUAUCCUGACUGAUAUUUCAGGUGUUACUAAUGAUAAAAUGCAUGUUAUGAUGUACAUAUGACGUAAACUGAAAAUUAAAUCGAAUUUUAUAAAAAUUUAAAUAUGCCCGGACAAAAUUGGGGUAUGACAGAUGCCCCUAUUUCAUUAUCUUGAACUAGAAGGUAAGAAUGACAACAGUCUUCAUACAUUCGUAGUGGAAGAUAAUUAAAUACGAAAAGACCCAAAUUUUGUCUUUUUGAAAUGCAAGGAAGAAAUGCAAUAUUUCAUUAUCUUGAACUAGAAGGUAAGAAUGACAACAGUCUUCAUACAUUCGUAGUGGAAGAUAAUUAAAUACGAAAAGACCCAAAUUUUGUCUUUUUGAAAUGCAAGGAAGAAAUGCAGAAAGAGAAUGCAGUGAGAAAUACAGUAAGAAAAGUUAUCAAAAAGGUAAAAUGAAAGAGUCGAGACUCUCUGGGAAUCGUCAGAACAGUAUCUUGGAUGUCAUAAUCGAGAUAUUCUGGUAAUGGAAUGAUACCUCAAUUGUAUCUAAGACUUUCUGAAAAUUAGCAGAACAUUGUCUUGAAUAGAAAACACAAUAUUCUCUAGGGAUCAACGGAGCAGUUUCUUACAUGAUAUAAUCGAGAUAUUCCAACAAGGGAAUGAUACCUCAAUCAUAUCUAAGAUUCUACGAGGAUACUUAGAGCAAUAUCUCUAACAAAAAUCUGAAAUGAGACUCUUCAUAUUGAUGAAGCAGCAUCUCAAACAGUAAAAGUGAGAUUCUCUGUAUCGGGUCGAAGCAGCAUCUUAUAUGAUAGAAUUAAGAUGUUCCAGCAAGGGAAAGAUAUAUUGAUGAAGCAGCAUCUCAAACAGUAAAAGUGAGAUUCUCUGUAUCGGGUCGAAGCAGCAUCUUAUAUGAUAGAAUUAAGAUGUUCCAGCAAGGGAAAGAUACCUUAAUCGAAUCUAAGACUCUUGAGGAUACUUAGAGCAGUAUCUCUAAAAAAUCUGAAAUUAGACUCUUCAUAUUGAUGAAGCAGCAUCUCAAACCGUAAAAGUGAGAUUCUCUGUAUCGGGUCGAAGUAGCAUCUUAUAUGAUAGAAUUAAGAUGUUUCAGAAAGGAAAAAAAAACCUUAAUUGAAUCUAAGACUCUCCGAGGAUACUUAGAGCAGUACCUCUAAAAAAUCUGAAAUGAGACUCUUCAUAUUGAUGAAGCAGUAUCUCAAACAGCAAAAAUGAGAUUCUCUAUAUCGAGUCGAAGCAGCAUCUUAUAUGACAGAAUUAAGAUAUUCCAAACAAGGGAAAGAUACCUUAAUUGAAUCUAAGACUCUCCGAGGAUACUUAGAGCAGUACCUCUAAAAAAUCUGAAAUGAGACUCUUCAUAUUGAUGAAGCAGCAUCUCAAACAGUAAAAGUGAGAUUCUCUGUAUCGGGUCGAAGCAGCAUCUUAUAUGAUAGAAUUAAGAUGUUCCAGCAAGGGAAAAAAUACCUAAUUGAAUCUAAGACUCUCGAGAUACAGAGCAGUACCUCUAAAAAAAUCUGAAAUGAGAAUCUUCAUAUUGAUGAAGCAGAUCUCAAACAGUAAAAUGAGAUUCUCUGUAUCGAGGUCGAAACAUGCAUCUUAUAUGAUAGAAUUAAGAUUGCCGACAAGGAAUGAUACCUUAAAUUGAAUCUCAGACUCUCCGAGGAUACUAGAGCAGUAUCUUAAAAACACAAUGCGAUUCUUCAAUUGAUGAAGCAUAUCUCAAAUAGAGAGAUGAGAUUCUUCAGAUAAAUGAAGCAGUAUCUCGAAUAUCGUCUGUUAGGGGAACUCUUAAGAAAAGACUCCUUUUGAGGGAGACAUACUGGAAAUGCUCUGCAGGGGAAAAAGCUCAUAAGAGACUUUUAGGGUACCUCUGCUUGGGGAGCGAUGAUUGUAAAGAAAAUUGCUGGGAAUAUCAUUAUUAAUCGUAAAGUCGAAAAAAUGAUUUACUGAGAUAUAAUCCCACGAGCAUAUGCAGGGUAAUAACUUCAUUUGGAAUGAGGUAUGUCCAAGAUAUACAUGAAUGACCUUGGGUCCUGACAUUUUACUUUUGAUUUUUGUAUGAUGUCCCACUUUAGGUGGGAAUACCAUGCAUGGGAUGGUUCAUGAGAUGCAUGCAAGUAUGCAAUUGCUGGGGAUAUUUGGAUGUGCAUGUAGGAAUGCGAAUGAUCUUUAUUUUGUAUAAGGUUAUGCAUAAGUAUGCUGAUGAUUGAUAUGACUGUGUUUUUUUUUUGAAUUUUCUGUUUGGUAGGAAAACCAUGUAUGGAUGAUUCGUGUGAUGCAUGUGGGAAUGCAAUUGGGUAAUUGGAUGUUUUUGUAGGGUUUAAUUCUUGGUUGCCAAUGAGGUUGGACUUUAAAUGGGAACUGCCAUAUGAGAACUGGUGAAGGAGACUGAACUGCCAGAUGAGGACAGCACCUGAAGGAUAUGUUACCAGACGUGAAGUGGUGAAAAUAAUUGAAAUGUCAGACGGGACUGAAUUUGUUUUUGGUUAUCAGACAGGAAUUGAUUUUUAAAGUAGGCUACCAGACGAGAACUGGUGAAAAUAAUUGACUACCAGAUGAGAACUGGUAUCGAAAUAGGUGACCUACCAGACGAGAACUGGUAUUAAGAGAUAAUUUACCAGACAAGAACUGGUAUUUGGCAAAUGAUUUUUCAUACAAGAACUGAUUUUUGAUAUAGUUUGCCAAACGGGAACUGGACUUUGGAAUAAGUUGCCAGACGAGAACUGAAAUUUGAAAUAAAUUGCCAGACGAGAACUGGGCUUUGAAAUAAAUUGCCAGACGGGAACUGGGCUUUGAAAUAAAUUGCCAGAUGGGAACUGGGCUUUGAAAUGAAUUGCCAGACGAGAAUUGGACUUUGACAUAAAUUGCCAGACGGGAAUUGGGCUUUGAAAUGAAUUGCCAGACGAGAACUGGACUUUGACAUAAAUUGCUAGACGGGAACUGGGCUUUAAAAUGAAUUGCCAGACAAAAAUUGGACUUUGACAUAAAUUGCCAGACGGGAACUGGGCUUUGAAAUGAAUUUCCAGACGAGGACUGGACUUUGACAUAUAUUGCCAGACGGGAACUGGGCUUUGAAAUGAAUUUCCAGACGGGAAUUGGGCUUUGGUGUCAGAUUUUGGGUUUCAAGGCUUUUUGAUGUCAGGUUCAUGUUAUGGGUUAUGCCUGAUAAAUGAUAUGAUAUGCAUGGCUUUAUGCUAGAGCAAAGCAUGUACUGAUUACGUACUACUACUAAAUUGUAAUGAUUGGAAGGUUUCCAAAAUGCCCCUGCGCGGGUAUUGGAAGAGAAGGUUUUUUUUUGCAGAAAGGCUUUUGUCUGUCAAAAGGUUAUUUUAUGGGGUGAUAACGUGAUUUCCCGACACUCAUCUUGAACUCUGCAGUCGAUGACGUGUGAAAAAAACUUUCCCUUGAACAGCUCGAAGUCAGGGAGAUGACUUGCUCCUAUAUGGCUCAUCUUGCCCCAAUGUGAUGGGUCUAUCCAAAAUGUUUACCUCGAAAGGAUUUUGAAAGCAAUUGUACCAUAAUUUGGAGAUGGAUUGCCCCAGAAUUUUGAUCCAUGAAAGGAUUUAUCCUUGGUUAACCGACUCUUGGAGUGGUUAACUUUUCUGUGCUCUUGAGGUAGCUUGCCCCGGUAUGAGCGUUGAAGCGACUUAACUCACCCUAACUGAACAUUGAAGGGGUCUGCCCCUGGCCAACAGAACCUCUAGGUGAUUUGCCCCUAGUUAAUAGAGUCCUGAGAUGAUUUGCUCUGGAUCAAUUGAUUCUUGAAAUGGUUUGCACAUUUAUUAACAGAUGUUGGAGACUAUUUAAGACUGACCAAUUCUUGGAGUAAUCUUCCUAUGACCAACUGAUGUUUAGGUGGCAUGUCUCAGAUUCAUAGGUUGUGAGGUAGUCUUGAUUCGGGUCAGCACCAACGAAUGUCCAAGUUCCUCUGAUUGUUCCUUAUUGUUGGAAUUUCCCUGACGUCAAGUACUGACUAGCAGUUAAAAUUGUUUGUUCAGAAAUGGUAAUUUUAAUGCGAUACUCAUGCAAGUUUUGAAAAGAAUUUAUUUGAAUGAUGUGAUAAUGUGAAACGAAUGGACCAUGAGUCCAAAUGUAAUGCUGAUUUAGCAAUUUAAAGUGUGAAAGACACAGUGAGAAUAAUGACAUCGAUGUUGAAGAUUAGCAAAUCUUUAGGAGUCAGUUUACGCAACCUUGAUGUAGUAUGCUUUCGGAAUAAACCCUACUUCAAUUAGGUCUUUUAAGGGUUGUAACGUGGCUUGGUUCAUGGUUAUCGAAACAAAGGAUAUGAGGCUCAAAAUUGUUUCUGUACCCACCCUUCUUCUUGAUAAACUCCAGUCCUACGCUCAGUUAAUUCACCAUACACAUUCAACUUUUAAGAGAGUUUGCAGGUGUAAGAUCUCUUGAAAUGACAGACACUUUAUUUUGCUCUUCAUGGAUAUUGGUGACCCUUUGAUUCUUGAUAUGGUGGUCACUAAAUCUUGUUUUUAUUUUGUUGAGGGUUUUCGUGACCUCCUUUCAUUUUUGUUUUGAUCCCUAACUUUUGCAUGGACCUAUUUUUGAAGCUUUAGUCCAUCGGGAUUGCCCCGGUUUUUGCCUAAGUCUCCUUUUGGGGUACGAAGGCAAAUCUUCACAACGCUUAGCACGCGCACCAAUCCGGAGGCUUCAUCGUCGUCUCAACGCAACGCACGAACUCCUCUUCACCUCCGUAUCCGCACAAAACCGGUGAGUUUUAUUCUCUUCGUCCCAAUGUCGAUUGUCGAUUAUUGGUGUGUCGUUCUCGCCAUCGCUUGUUCUCAAUGGGCACCGCGUAAUUUCGUUUCGAAGGUUUGGGCCACCUUAGUGACGUCGCGGUGGUGGUACUGAUACGCUUUGUUGAGAUAGGUGAAAAACAGGGUCUUAAUGGCUAAUGACUGUCAAACCCGACCAUGGAUUUUGUGGGAGACUUGGGCCUUUGGCUCAAGUAAUUUUCUGGAUUCACACCCCCAUCCGAAAAUCUCUCAACAUCAUUCCUUUCCCAUGGGGCCGAAACAGUGGCCCAUCUCAAAUGCUUGGACCCAAUUUCUUUGUUUAUUAUUUAGUUAGUAAUCAACUCUUAGGUUAAUUAGAUUAAUUAAAGGGUUAAGAGUUAAUUAGAUUAGAUUUUAGAUUACACUAAUUAUAAGAUUAGGAUUAAUUUUAGAUAAUAUUAGAAGUUUAGGUUGUUAGAAUUAAUUAGGAAUUUUAGAAAUCUAAUUAGGUUAAUAAGGUUAGGAUUUGAGAUUUAAUUAGAAAUUUAGCAUUUUUUUAUAAUUUUAAUUAGGGUUUUAUACUUUUGACUAGGUUAUGUUUAUAUUUUAACUAGGCUUAGUUAGUUUCUAAUUAGAAGUUGAUUUUUAGAAACUUCUCCCUAAUUAAUCCAUUUUUUGGCAUAUUGGCUAUUUUGCCCCUAGGUAGAAAAAUCUUGAUUUUUAUGCAUGCUCCCUUAGUUUAGGGCCUUAAUCAGAUUUAUCUGAUUUUUAUUUAGUUGAUUAUUUCAAUAGGUUAUUAUUGUAUAUAAUUCAAUCUAUCAUUUCAACCUCAUUGAUUAGUGUUGACCAAAGGCCACUUUGGUCAACCAAAUCCUUUGUAACUCUGCUAUAAGCCCAAAGCCUAUUUCAAGUGGUCAAAAGACCAUUGAUCACUUGAUAUGGUAAGUUCAUUAUGCUCAAGCUAUCGUGGAUACACUGAAUCUCAAGAGCUCAAGACCUCAAAGUUCAAACGCAAGAUCAAGACUUCAAGUCAACACCAAUCAAGCAUAGCUAGCAAAGUGGACUACUUCUCAAGCACUGCAAAGGUAUUAACACUUGUUGAUCAUAAUUCAAAGUGUGUGGCACGAGCCUUAAGCAAUAGAGAAAGGAUGAGAUUGGAGAAUUCCUACCCUCACUCUAAAUAUCUUUGGGUGCAGAACGUUUGGCCCGUGGCUCAUCGUAUUCACCUUUAUUCAUAGACUUUAUCACAAUUUGAAUUACAUGAUUGUCAAGUCUUCUUCUAUAACGAGCAACACUACAUCAAUAUGACCAACACAAAGAAUCUACUGUCAACAACUUAUUAAUUUUGAUUCAAGUUGCACACUAUGAGCCUUAAGAAACAAAGAAUGAUGAGAAUGGAGAAUUUCUAUCCUUGUCUAGAAUAUCCUUGGGUACGGGACGAAUGACCCGGUUGCUCAAGAUAUUCACCUUUGUUCGUAGACUUUAGUGAAAUUUGAAUCACAUGAUUGUGACUUAUUGAGUCUAUGGGAAUUGUGACUGCAAGUGCACAGUCCUAUCGCGUAGUUUUAAAGAUUAUCGAACCCACAAUGACUAAUAAUUGAACGUAUCAUGGUCUAAUGUUGCUAUGUAAAUCUAAGGUUGAUGAUCGUUCUAAGAUUGGAGGGAUGAAGAGAAAUAACUAUAACGUAAAUAGAAGAUUAAUAAAGAUAUAUGAUAAAGGGAUAUGGGUAUAUAACGCAUCAAACUUCGGAGAUUCGAUAGAUAGUUGGUGUAAUCUUAUUGGUCAAAAUAUUCUUCAGUAGAAAUUAUUUAUAGAAAGGACUUAGUCUCACACUCUCGUUUUUAUUGACUCUGACCAUACUCCUAAACCAGAAUGCUUAGCUCUCGCAGUCUCAUUUUGAAUUUAAAAGUAAUUUUUGAAUAUGAAUAAAGUCUAAUUUAUCCUAAAGCACUCUCGCUGUGUUUAGGAUUAAUGCCUAGUUUCAGCUAUCUGGUUAAAAUCUCAAACUCUUGUUCUUAUUGACCGUAACCUUAGUUUGUUUUGUACUUUCGUACGAAAAACAGUUUGAUUAAAAUAAGAAACUAAAAACCAGAAAAAUAAGUUUUAUAAAAAAACUAACACAAUUAUUUAUGAAUCCCGUCGUUUCGAUGGUCUUUACAUACCGAUACCUAAGGGUUUAGCCGGACAUGGAUCCGGUAACAGACAUGGUAUUUGGAAAAUCAAACAUGCAAUAAGGCAUAAAUAAAUAAAACAUCAAUCAAAAUAAAACCUGGAUUACGAAUUGAGAACUGGAACUGAAUCUUGAUUCUUCGAUUAAAAUAAUAUCGACAGGCUUUGGCAAUGAGUAACCGUUACAAUUGAAUUCAAAUGCGUAAAUAAUAAAUCACAAUAGUCCCCGAUGUGGAGAGCUAUUGAUUUUACAAAGUAAGAAAACUGCCUAGCCAACUAAAAGAAAAUAAUUCUGACUAAAAAUAAUCCGUAGAUUGAAAACGGGAAGAAGAGAGAUCCUCUGGCGAGACUGAGAGAGAGUCCUUAUAUAUUUUCCACAUCCCUAAUUUGUACUGAAGGUGGAUGGAUUCGUGGCUAGAAACAUGGAGAAAAAAAGGGAAGACUAGGUUGUGGCGGUUACCACAACCCUAGUCUUUGAUUCCGUGGCAAGCACCACAAAUAUAGGGUUGAGCGCCACAUCUCCUCGUGCUUGGUGGCGGGCGCCAUCACCUCCUUGGAUUCAUGUGGCGGGCGCCACACACCCUAGAUGAUGGGCGCCACAAGCCCAUUUACUUUGAUGAUCCAUUAUCUCUAUUUUUCUCCAUUUUCUUCUCUUUUUAUUUCCUUUUUGCUAUUUUCCAUUUUGCUUGCUAUAAACCUUUUAAUCGAUAAAUACUUGCAAUAAACAUAAAAUACUGCAUAAUAAUAAGUGUUAAUCAAGUAAAAAGCAAUGCAUAUGGAGCCAAAAAUACGAUACAUUUUUGCGUUAUCAAACUCCCCCAUACUUAAACCUUUGCUUGUCCUCAAGCAAAUGUCGCGUAUAUGAAAAAAAGUUUUGUAAAAUAUUUGUAACAUACAUUAUCAAGACUUGUAGAAGACAUAGUUGCAUUCGGAUACUCAUUCUAGUCUAUAAACUUUACUUUGGUUCAAAAUUGUAUUAACAGGUACUCACUUCCACACUAAGGGUAUCGUUGGAACACAUAGUCGCAAUAUUGCAACCGUAAGUCUCCGUCCUAUACAAACCAAUCUGAAUCAUGUUGUCAUGCCUAAGCCUACCUUACUAAACCUUCUUUUUAUCCUUUUUCAUUUUGGCGCAAUCACAUUAAACCCGUUAUCCUUUCACAUUCAUAGCAAGAUAAUUUGUUAGUGACUAUGAUCUCAUCAUUAUUUCUUUCUUUCUUUUUCACACUUUUGCUCAAAUAACAGUUGAAGAUGGUUAUACCGUUGGGCUAAAUGACCUGGUGAGGAUCACCUAACUUAGAGGGAACAACAUUUUUCAUACAUUUCGUAAUCUUUUCUUCUUUUAAGCAUGAAAUCAUACACUUAUUUGCAUCGACUUCUUGCGUAGUUUGUGCUUAGGAUGGUGCUGACUGCUAGAUAAACUACUUAAGGAAAUAUUAAAGGAUAGAAUUUAAGGCUAUGGCAUGACAAGUACUCAAAUCGAUCUUAUACUUGGGAGAUUUAAGGUGUUAAAACGAUAUCGAUCUUAUAAAGUUUUUCCAAAUCUCUAUAAUUCAACCUCAGUUUUAUUUAUAGUUUAGAAUUUUCAAAAGAUGUAUUGUAUCUUUAAGUCUAGAUUUUUGCAAAAAAAAAUUGUAUGGCUUGAGCAAAUAGGAGAAUUAGUAAAUAACGGAAACCACGCAUAGGGACUCGACAACACAUUGAUAUUUAACUCGACUGACACUUUAACAAAAAUAACAAAAGGAAAUAACAAUAACAAUAAUUUAAAUCUACCUAGAAAGCGAUAAAUAAAAGCGGUAAAGCUUCCUCCCCUAUACUUAAACCUUUCAUUGUCCUCAAUGUAACGACAUAAGAUAGGAAAGAAAGGUAGAACCUGGGUAUCCUGCUACUGGCGCCUUCUGCCACGUGUACGUGCACGUCCACCGUUUCCUGGAUGGUGAGGUGGCAUGUAGUUUUGGAGAUCUUCCACACGCAUUGUCAAUGUUGCCAUUUCAUCGAUCAAGCCAUACAUGUUCUGUUCGAUUCUGAAAGCGUAGUCGUGCUGAUCAUGCUGCAUUUUGCGAAGGAUUUGCAUCAUUUCAGUUUGUUGGGCUUCCAUGUUUUGGAUUUGUAGGUCGCGUUGAGCGUCUAAUUCGCUACGCCGCAGUAGUUCAGCAUAGAUCUCAUCAAGAGUGGCUGGUGCCACAUUUCUUCUUGGUCUUUGACUGGAGGAUAUACUUGCAACAUUUUCAAAUGACAUGUGUGUGGUGUGUGGGUCAGUAGCAGGAGCAGUUUGCUCCGGAAUGUGAUCCUCAUCGGUGUCCCCUUCAGCAGCUACAUUCUCAGGAAUAUGCGCGGGGACUUGGGUUAUACACCGGAUCAUUAAUAUAACGAUGAUUAUCCGGGUUACACACAUCUGUGCGGUUUGGAUUUGGGAGGAUAAAAUCUUGUAACACAUUAUUUGCAAUUAUUAAAUUAAAUUUACCGCCACUCCUUCGUUUUACUAGUUUCAUGCUCCUUACCAUGUCAAUAUCAAUGGCAUGAUGCGGGAGCGGGGUUAGCCUGGAGAAUUUUUCUUCGAGUCCUAGGACUCUGGCUAUGGAGGUUAUUAAACCUCCAAUAAUAGUCGGCCCUCGCUUCGCAUUGACAAUGGCUUACAUGUGAGAUAGCAUAAAAGGAACAAUAUUCACCUUUUGUGGCAAAAAUGUGGCGAACAAAUAAAAGAGUUCUUUUUCGUUCACCUUGUUAGAAUUUCCUUGGCCAAAAAUGGUGGACGCCAAUAUUUGGCGGAAAUAUCGAAUAGUCGAGUUGUGAAUUAAAGUGACUUUGUUUCCCUCAAAACUAUGGGUGACUGUACCGGUUAUUGCCCUCCAAAAUGGUUGGAAGGCACGUUGCCAGCCCUUAGUAUCUGGGACCUCACUCACUACGCCAUCCCCAUGGGGGAAAUGUAGCAGGUCCGUUAUUUGGGAAAAUGUAAGGGCAUAUUCGGCGUUGAAUAAAUGAAACUGGACAGUCCCACUAGAGCAGUGUGUGUUGGGUGUGGGACUAAAAAUUAACGAGCUUAGGAAUUCUAGCGUUAAUUGAGCAUAGACAGGGUCCUUAAGAGAUAGAAAAUAAUUUACAUUUAAAGUGUCUAUCAUAAAGUUAACACUAUCUAGAAUUCCUAAGGCAAAUAAACAGGGUUCAUCGACGUACGUUGUUGAUUCUAUCUUUCUUGCGCUUAGAGACGUAUACGUCUCUUCUUGUAAUUCGCCUGGCUCGCCGUUCCUGAACACUAUUUCGUAUUCCCUCAUCUGUGCCAUGAUGAAUUUCACACUCCUUGUGUAAUAUAGUGAGAAUAGAGCAAGAAAGAAGAGGAAUAUGCUUAUGAGAGGUGUGGUUUGUUGAGGUUAUGUUGGUGGUUUAUAUAGAGGUGAUGGUGGUUGGAAAUUUAUUGAUCAAAUAAAUUUCAUUUACGGUAUUCAAUGCCUUGGCCAAUUUUUUUUUUGAAAAUGGUUGAAUGGCUUUAAGGCAUUGUCAAGCAUGCAAGGGACAAAACCAUUAAGUGAUUUGAUGUGUCAAUAUUACAUAGCCUGCGCGUGAAAGCUUGUGUAGUGGCUGGCGCCAUUUUUGAUGUUCGUGGCGGGCGCCACUAUGGGCUAUGUGGCGGGCGCCACAACCCUCACAUGGGCGCCACAGCUGUAUGUGGCAGGCGCCAAAGCUUGUGUAGUGGCUGGCGCCAUUUUUGAUGUUCGUGGCGGGCGCCACUAUGGGCUAUGUGGCGGGCGCCACAACCCUCACAUGGGCGCCACAGCUGUAUGUGGCAGGCGCCACGUGCAGUGUGAUCUUCCCCAUGUGUGUUCCUUUAUAGUUGCUUUGACCAUAAUUUUCAAAUUGAGUUUUAACUUACUGGCAUGGAAUAAUAACUUGUUAGAAGAGAACCAACAUAAUAUAUAAUAUAUAGGAAUAAUAAACAUGAUAUAGUUAAAUGAAACUAAAUCACAAAAUUGAUGAAUGAAAGAAUGGAGUAGACGGGAAAAGAUGAAAUAAUUUUUCUACUGGAAUAAAAAGAAAUGAAGUAAUUAAAUGAAUCCAAAUGUGUUAAAGAAAAUAACAAUAAAAUUCCAAACAAGAAAAUAAAAUAAAAGUCAGUAAAUCGGUAAUACUCCAAUAAAUUAGCCAUUAUGGCGGCUGCUGGUGGGAGGAGCGAACGAGUAGAAGUGCUGGUAAAUGUGAUCCAGGUUCUCUGCCACUACAUCCAUAAAGUCGUGGAAUUCCAUGCGCAGGGUGCUCAGCUUGCCUCUCAGAUUGGCGACGUCUGUCUGAACAACUUUGAUGGCAACAACAUGAUCGGUGAGAGGUGCAACAGGUAUAACUGGGGCAUGUAAUUCAGCAUCAGAGAGAUCAUUGUCAUAGUGAUCAUAAAUUUGGGGUGUCUCGGAGGAGAAGGUGGUGCAUAUGGUGGUCCAUCCAAAUUAUAGAGCCAAUUGUUCCUAUCAUGUACACUCGUCCUAGGGUCUGGCAGGGUAAACAGGUGUACUCCUUGGCUGUUAAUUAGGAAUUCAAACACAUCCGAGCCUAGGUUCCUAAUGAUACUAAUGUUGAAGCAAAAGUCGAUAUUCAUUGGUCGUAUUCCACCAAAAGGGGUGAGCUUGAUGAGUGGUUGUCUCAGUCCGAUGGCAUUUGCUAUCAUGGUCACCAAGCCUCCCACUAAGAUUGGUCCAUAGUCCUCAUGUACUAUACGGUACAAAUUAGCCAUCAUGAAUGUAGCAGCGUUAACAGGUUCGACCUGUGAUGCACAAUGCAUUAUAAAGAGUUCGUCUUUGGACACAAAGAUUCUGUUAUGUUCAUUUCCAAAUAAGGUGUGAGCUAGGAUCUUAUGAAAGUAACGAAUCACAUGGUUAUAGAUGUUCUCUGAAUUCAUAAGGUUUGGCACGGGAUGGUCGUUUCCUGUGAUGCUACCCCAAAAGAGAUCUAAUUGAUGGUUUACUAGCCUGUCUUCAUGGGUAAUGGUAAAGGUAUCAGGACCAUUAGGGCAUCCUAGGAGUUCGGCCAUUUCUCUAUGGGUGUAACGGUAGUCAUUAUCAAAUAACCUAAAGGUGAUUAGGCCUUUGUUAAAUCUCAUACCAUGGUUUGGCAGGUACACUAGGGAGCUUAGGAAUUCUAAAGUCAACCUACUGUAGGAACUGAAUUUUCUUUUGAUAGCAAAGGUGUCCCAGCCUAGUUGGUUAAUUAGGAACACAACAUUGUCUCUUAUACAUAAUUUGAUCAUGGUGCAUCCAUCUGGGUACAAGGUUAGUGUCAUUUAUCUCUGAGCUAGAGCCUCAAAACGUCUCUUUUGAGCUAUGCCUCUGAAGACUAUAUCCAUGUAAUCUACUUGUUGCAUUGUGAUUGUCAGUAGCUAGAUAAAAUCAAGUAGAUAAUAGCAUUAAGUUAGUAAUGGCCAAUAAUACAUAAAGGUACUGAUUAACUUUAUGAGAAAUAAGAAAGAAAAAAAAAAGAAAUGAAAAUUAAUCAGUAGUAAUAAUUAUAAAUUUGGGUAAUGAAAUUAAAUAGUUAAAGACAGAGUGUGGGUUGUCUCCCACCAAGCGUUUUGUUUAUUGUCGUAAGCUCGACAGAAAUAGGAAAGGCGUUAUUCUUUUGAAUGAGCAUGGAGCUCUACAAGCUUUAGAUUUACAAUGAAAUCAUUGUUAUCAAUGUUGUGGUAAUGUUUCAAACGUUGUCCGUUUACUAUGAAUGGUUCACUCGUUUUUCCUUUUAUCUCUAUUACUCCAUUCAGAAAGAUAUCGGUAAUUUCGAAGGGACCAGACCAUCUAGAACGAAGUUUUCCAGGAAAGAGUCUGAGGCGGGAGUAAAACAGAAGUACUUUGUCGCCUUCCUUAAACUCUUUCCUUGAUAUGCGAUUGUCGUGCCAUUUUUUUGUUUUUUCUUUAUAGAUUCAGGCAUUCUCAUACGCAUCUAGUCUAAGUUCUUCUAGUUCGUGGAUAUCUAAUAUUCUUUUUUCGCCUGCGGCAGUAUAAUUGACAUUAAGGGUCUUAAUGGCCCAAUAUGCUUUAUGUUCUAAUUCUACCAGUAGAUGGCAUGAUUUUCCAUAAACUAGCUUAAAAGGUGUGGUUCCUAUUGGGGUCUUAUAAGUUGUCCUAUAUGCCCACAGGGCUUCUGGUAAUUUUGAGGACCAAUAUUUCCUAGAGGUGGCAACCGUCUUUUCUAAGAUUUAUUUAAUUUAUCAGUUUGAUACUUCUACUUGCCCACUCGUCUGUGGGUGAUAGGGUGUUGCUACGCGGUGCCGGACUCCAUAUUUCAAUAAUAGCUUUUCAAAAAUCCUUGAAAUAAAGUGGGAUCCAUCAUCACUGAUAACAAGUCUCGGCACUCCGAAUCUAGGGAAGAUUAUACGCUUAAAGAGUCUAAUUACCACUCGUGUGUCAUUCGUUGGAGAGAUUAUGACCUCAAUCUAUUUUAAUACGUAAUCGACUGCAACAAGGAUAUAUUUGUUACCAAAAGAAGAUGGGAAAGGUCCCAUAAAAUCGAUUCCCCAAACAUCGAAGACUUCUACUUCCAAAAUGCGUUUAUGGGAAAGGUCCCAUAAAAUCGAUUCCCCAAACAUCGAAGACUUCUACUUCUACUUCCUUUAAGCGGCAUUUCGUCACGUCUAGAUAUGUUUCCAGUGCGUUGACACCAGUCGCAAUUUGUGAUCGCGAUGUGGACAUCUUUCCACAUAGUGGGCCAAAAGAGGCCGGCUUGCAAGAUCUUAGUGCAAGUCUUCGAGGUGCUUGCAUGUCCUCCAUAGGGAGCAGAAUGACAGUGGGAUAUUACGUUUUCUACCUCAUCCUCAGGGACACAUCGACGGAAAAUGCCGUCGGCACCUCUCUUGAAAAGUAGAGGCUCAUCCCAAUAGUAGUGUUUAAGAUCGUGGAAGAAUUUUUUCUUUUAUUGGUAGGUCAAGUCUAGCAGAAACACCAUAGCUGCUAAGUAGUUGACGAAGUCAACGUACCAUGGUAGUAUGGUUUUGGUGUAAAUUGCUUCCACUACCUCGUUUAUUUUGGUAUCCUUAUGGGUUAACGCAUCUUUAGCUGUGUUACUUUCCAGUUGGGCUAUGAGUCUUUCGUACGGAAAAUUAUCGUUUAUAGGCACUCGUUCAGGUUCAGUACCUUCCAUUCUUGACAAGUGAUCGGCCACGACGUUUUCAGUGCCCCUUUUAUCCUUGAUUUCUAGGUCAAACUCUUGUAAUAGUAAGAUCCACCUUAUGAGUCUUGGUUUGGUGUCUUUUUUGUUUAAUAGGCACCUAAUUGCAGCCUGAUCGGUAUAGAUAAUUAUCUUUGCUCCUACUAGGUAAGAACGGAAUUUAUCUAGAGCGAACACUACGGCUAAAAGUUCCUUUUCUGUGGUGGCAUAUUUCAUCUGUGUAGGGUCUAGGGUUCUACUUUCAUAGUAUAUUGCAUGAAGUUUCUUAUCCCUUCUUUGUCCUAAGACCACGCCUACAGCAUAGUCACUAGCGUCACACAUGAUUUCAAAGGGUAAUCUCCAAUCGGGCGGUUGCAUGAUAGGUGCGGUAAUAAGAGUUAUUUUCAGUUGUUCAAACGCCGCUAGGCAUUUGUCGUCAAAGAUGAAUUCAACAUCUUUCAUCAAUAAGCCAGUCAGUGGUUUGGUGAUUUUUGAGAAAUCUUUAAUGAAUCGCCGGUAGAAACUGACGUGUCCUAAGAAGCUUCGUAUUUCUCUUACGGUUUUUCGGAGGCUGGAGGUUUUCUAUAACUUCUAUUUUGGCCUUGUCGACUUCAAUCCCCUUGUCGGAUACUAUAUGUCCGAGUACGAUUCCUUGUCGGACCAUGAAAUGGCAUUUUUCCCAGUUUAGCAUGAGGUUCACUUUUACGCAUCUUUUUAGUACCAUUUCAAGAUUCGAUAAGCAGCCUUCAAAGCUUUGUCCGCAUACAGAGAAAUCAUCCAUGAAGACUUCCAUGAUGUCAUCUAUGAAAUCAGCGAAGAUUGACAUCAUGCAUCUUUGGAAUGUUGCGGGAGCAUUACACAGUCUGAAUGGCAUUCGCCGGUAGGCGAAUGUACCAUAGGGGCAUGUGAAGGUCGUUUUCUCUUGGUCGUCGGGAUGAAUAGGAAUUUGGAAAAAUCCCGAAUCGCCGUCUAGGUAGAAGAAGUGAGAAUGCUUAGCCAAUCUUUCAAGCAUUUGAUCAAUAAACGGUAAAGGAAAAUGAUCCUUCCGAGUGACUUUGUUUAAUUUUCUAUAAUCAAUACACAUUCUCCUUUUUCAUUAUUCACAACUGUGGUGCCUCCCUUCUUUGGUACGACAUGUACUGGGUUGACCCAUUGACUAUCGGAUAUCGGGUAGAUAAUACCUGCUUCUAACAACUUUUGCACUUCUUUCUUUACUACAUCACUCAGAAUGGGAUUUAUCCUUCUUUGAUGUUCUCUAGAGGUCUUACUAUCUUCCUCUAGCAUUAUACGAUGCAUGCAUAUGGAAGGGCUUAUUCCUUUUAGAUCUGAGAUAUUGUAGCCUAAAACAGUUGGGUAUUUUCUCAAAACGUGUAGAAGCUUUUCGGUCUCUAUCUACCCUAAGUCUGCAUUUACUAUUACAGGUCGCUCAAGUUCAGUGUCUAGGAAUUCGUACCUUAUAUUUUUGGGUAACAUCUAAAGUUCUAGGGCUGGUUUCUUUGGGCAAGGCAUAUGAUCGGGCGUUAGUGCUAGGCAUUCGCUUAGGCUGUCAUCUUGUUAUUCCUUACUUAAAUUUUCAUCUUCAAAAGUAGGAGGCCUUGGAAUUUUUAGUAUUUCAGAGUAUGAUGUUUGUUCAUUCUCCAUCUCUCUUAUGAAUUCGUCGAUGACAUCUAGUAGACAACAGGUAUCGUCUAUAGCUGGUGCCUUUAGGAAUUGCGUCAAAAUGAAUUCGACUUUUUCCUCACCAACUUCAAAGGUUAGCUUUUCUUUCUUAACAUCUAUAAUAGCUCCGACUGUAGCUAGGAAUGGUCUUCCUAAUAUGAUAGGGAUGUUGGAAUCCUCUUUUAUAUCCAUGAUUAUAAAAUCAAUAGGAAUAUAGAAUUGUCCCAUGCGCACCGGAACGUUUUCUAGCAUACCUACGGGAAAUUUAACAGAACGAUCUGCAAGUUGUACGAAUAUCCUCGUAGGUCUUGGUUCUCCCAUUUUUAGCCUUUCGCAUAUGGACAAGGGCAUUAAACUAAUAUUGGCUCCUAAGUCGCAUAGUGCUUUAUCGAUGACAAACUUUCUGAUUACACAGGGUAUGGAGAAACUACUUGGGUCUUUCAGCUUAGGAUGCAUAUUAUUUUGUAUUAUGGCGCUACACUUAGCAGUAAGUGUAACGGUUUCGUUAUCCUCUAUCUUCUUCUUCUUAGAUAAGAUUUCUUUGAGAAACUUAGCAUAUGAGGGCAUUUGAAUGAUGGCUUCUGUGAAGGGUAUUAUGAUAUUCAAUUGUUUUAGAAGCUCUACGAAUUUUUUAAAUUGUCUUACACUUUUAGAUUUAACAAGUCUUUGAGGAUAAGGGAUAGGGGGUUUAUGCGGUGGUGGAGGCACAUAAGGUUCUUCUUUCUCUACGACCUCUUCGUUUUUAUCUUCCUCUUGUUCGUCUUCCUUCUCGGUUACCUUACUUGGGUCUUGAUGCAUGGAUGGGUUUUGAGUUCUGGGGUCGGCCGGUCCAUCUAGUUCUGUCCCACUUCGUAGUAUAAUAGCAUUUGCAUGACCUUUCGGGUUUGGUUACGGUUGUCCAGGAAAUGUGUCUGCAGGAGCAGCAGUAGGUGCUUGUUGUUGAGCCACUUGCAAGAUUUGUGUUUCCAACAUUUUGUUGUGGGUGGCUAAUGCGUCUACCUUGUUUGCUAACUACUUGAUUUGCUCACUAGUGUGUAUGUUUUGAUUUAGGAAAUCCUUAUUCGUUUGGGCUUGGGUAGCUAUGAAGUUUUCCAUCAUUAUUUCUAAGUUUGAUUUCCUAGGAGCAUUUUGAGUAUUUGUGGCAGCUUUAUGAUAUCAUGGUGGUACAGCAGGUGCUUGGUUAGGUGCAUAUAAUGCAUUAUUAUUUUUGUACGAAAAGUUAGGAUGGUUCUUCCAACCUAUGUUAUAGGUAUUUGAGUAAGGGUUUCCUUGAGCAUAGUUCACUUGGUCUGUGGAGGUUCCUGUUAAGAGUUGACAUUCUGGGGCAGUAUGCCUUUGAACUCCGCAUAUCUCGCAGUUUGGUGCUACGGCAGCCAUGGUGGCUGCUGGUGUUAUGGUCAAGUUGUCUAUCUUUUGAGUCAGAGCAUCUACCUUGGCGUUGACAUGGUCAAGACUGCUUAAUUCAUACAUGUCGCCCUUCGUUUGAGGUUUCUCUACAGAGGUUCUUUCGCUUCCCCAUUGGUAAUGAUUCUAGUCCAUACUUUCGAUGAGUUGAUAGGCCUCAUUGUAUGGUUUAUCCAUCAGUGCGCCACCUGCGGCGGCGUCCAUUGUCAAUCUUGUAUUGUACAAGAGACCGUUGUAAAAGGUAUGAAUGAUAAACCAUUCUUCUAGACCAUGAUGUGGACAAAGCCUCAUCAUGUCUUUGCAUCUCUCCCAAGCUUCAAAAAGUGAUUCAUUAUCCUUUUGUUUAAACCCAUUUAUUUGGGCUCUUAGCAUAGCCGUCUUACUAGGUGGGAAAUAUCGGGCUAAGAAGAUUUUCUUCAACUCGUUCCACGUAGUGACAGAGUUGGAUGGUAGAGACUGGAGCCAAGCUCUAGCUCUAUCUCUUAAUGAAAAUGGGAAAAGACAUAGUCUUAUAGCUUCUGGGUUGUGUGUCUGCGUAUUGCAAAAAUACUGACAAGUGUAGGUUCAAGUCCUCCGUGGGACUACCUGAAAACUGGUUUUGUUGUACGGCUGACAACAACGAAGGUUUUAGCUUAAAAUUAUUGGCCUCGAUGGCAGGGGCAGCAAUGUUGUUACGUGGUUCAUCCUGCGAAGGGAUUGCAUAGUACUUAAGAGGACGGUCUUGCACUCCUUCGGCCAUCUCUGGUUGAAUAACUGAUUCAGAAGUAGGGAUGUUAAGGUCAGGAAGAUUUAGCUUGAUACUAUGUUCCCUUAUCAAGUCUCGUAUCCGGCGUUUUAAUCUAAGAUAACACUCAGGUUCGUCGAACUAUCGCUUUAAUUUCUCUCCUUGAGAGCAAGUACUUGGCGUACACUCGAAAAAUGUAGAAAGGGAAAAAAAGAAUUGUUUGCCUUAGUCUAUACUGGGAAACACUGGAGUUACGAUAUCGACUAAAUUAGUCCCCGGCAACAGCGCCAAAAACUUGAUCGCGACUUAGUAAGUCUAUGGGAAUCAUGACUGCAAGGCACAAUCCUAUCGCGUAGUUUUAAAGAUUAUCGAACCCACAAGGACUAAUAAUCGAAUAUAUCAUGGUCUAAUGUUGCUAUGUAAAUCUAAGGCUGAUGAUCAUUCUAAGAUUGGAGGGAUGAAGAGAAAUAACUAUAACGUAAAUAGAAGAUUAAUAAAGAUAUAUGAUAAAGGGAUAUCGAUAUGUAACGCAUCAAACUUAGGGGAUUCGAUAAAUAGUUGGUGUAAUCUUAUUGGUCAAAAUAUUCUUCAGUAGAAAUUAUUUAUAAAAAGGACUUAGUCUCACACUCUCGUUUUUAUUGACUCUGACCAUACUCCUAAACCAGAAUGGUUGGCUCUCGCGGUCUCAUUUUGAAUUUAAAAGUAAUUUUUGAAUAUGAAUAAAGUCUAAUUUAUCCUAAAGCGCUUUCCCUGUGUUUAGGAUUAAUGCCUAGUUUCAGCUAUCUGGUUAAAAUCUCAAACUCUCGUUCUUAUUUACCGUAACCUUAGUUUGUUUUGUACUUUCGUACGAAAAACAGUUUGAUUAAAAUAAGAAACUAAAAACCGGAAAAAUAAGUUUUAUAAAAAAACUAACACCAAUUAUUUAUGAAUCUCGUCGUUUCGAUGGUCUUUACAUACCGAUACCUAAGGGUUUAGCCGGACAUGGAUCCGGUAACAGACAUGGUAUUUGGAAAAUCAAACAUGCAAUAAGGCAUAAAUAAAUAAAACAUCAAUCAAAAUAAAACCUGGAUUACGAAUUGAUAACUAGAACUGAAUCUUGAUUCUUCGAUUAAAAUAAUGUCAGCAGGUUUUGGCAAUGAGUAACCAUUACAAUUGAAUUCAAAUGCGUAAAUAAUAAAUCACAAUAGUCCCCGAUGUGGAAAACUAUUACUUUUACAAAGUAAGAAAAUUGCCUAGACAACUAAAAGAAAAUAAUUCUGACUAAAACUAAUUUGUAGAUUGAAAACUGGAAGAAAAGAGAUCCUCUGGCGAGACUGAGAGAGAGUCCUUGUAUAUUUUCCGCAUCCCUAAUUUGUAGCGAAGGUGGGUGGAUUCGUGGCUAGAAAAUGUAGACAAAAAGGGAAGACUAGGUUGUGGCGGUUGCCACAACCCUAGUCUUUGACUCCGUGGAAAGCGCCACAAAUAUAUGGUUGAGCGCCACAUUUCCUCAUGCUUGGUGGCGGGCGCCACCACCUCCUUGGGUUCAUGUGGCGAGCGCCACACACCCUAGAUGUUGGGCGCCACAAGCCCAUUUACUUUGGUGGCCCAUUAUCUCUAUUUUUCUCCAUUUUCUUCUCUUUUUAUUUCCUUUUUGCUAUUUUCCAUUUUGCUUGCUGUAAACCUUUUAAUCGAUAAAUACCUGCAAUAAACAUAAAAUACUGCGUAAUAAUAAGUGUUAAUCAAGUAAAAAGCAAUGCAUAUGGAGCCAAAAAUACGAUAAAUUUUCGCGUUAUCAUCACACAAUUGACAAGUCUUCUUAUUCUUCAAAUCAAGCAUUAAUCAUUCAACACUUCAAUUGUGAAGCACCAUUGCACAUCAAUAAUUUCUUUCCUCAGUGGAACAUUAAUCAUACUCCCUUUGACAUUCAGAUAUCCUUUGGAUCAAUUCCCCUAUAAUAAAUUCUUUGAAUCAUAAUCAAUCAACUCAAUCAUUUUUUUGCCUUGUCAGACCUCUUGUGAUUUGGCAAACCCCUAUUCAUUGUGGGCCUUAUUAGUCCUCUUGUGCUUAGGCCCACUCCAUUCGGCCAUUUGUUUUUCUUAUCCGUCCUCUGGUGCUUUGGAAAACCCCCAAUCAUUGUUCGUCUUAUAAGACCUCUCGUGCUUGGAUGAAGCUCUUUCCUUGUAAAUUCUCUCAUGUGUAGGCCAAUCAUGUCAUAAUCAUUGUUCGUCUUAUAAGACCUCUCGUGCUUAGACGAAGCUCUUGCCGUGUAAAUCCUCUCUUGUGUAGGCCAAUCAUGUCAUAAUCAUUGUUCGUCUUAUAAGAUCUCUCGUGCUUAGACGAAUCUCUUGUCUUAUAAAUCGUCUUGUGUAUAGGCCAAUCAUAUCUCAUUUAUCCUUGUGGUGGAUCACCAUUAUUGGGUUAGUACCAUACUCUUACUUGUUAAGCAACUUAUCUUGCCUCUUGACAAUCAAUCUCAUUCCUCUUCGUUUUAGCCGUAGUAGGCUGAACUACGAUUGCUCAGAUUUUCUCAUUGCAUGACGAGAAUACGUAGGCACAAGGGUUCAAAUCCUCCAAGAGCAUACUUAUUUAUUAUUCUUCCUUCCGCCUUAGGGAACCACCCAUAUCUUUCAUGAUCCAUUAUCUACCUUCGAUCAUUGAACCGUUCACCCUAGUGACGCAUUGUUUCUUUGAAACCGAAAUAUAUUUUUCUUUUGAAUUCCAUAUAUACCUUUUUAGGACCAUAUAGUGAUGGAUCCGCAUUUGUGCCUAGAGUUGUGUGGCUUGUACCCAUACAUUUAAUUUCUUCUUUUUUGGCUCAACCAUACAGUGAUACCGUGUUGUAGGCCCUCACUUGUGGUUCGUGUCAUCUUCCCUUUAUGGUACAAAUUCCACUUCUCUUAUGGAUUCCGAUGUAUAUCUGACAUUUGGUUUCAAACUAUACCCCUUCAGUCACUUGCUACCAAGCCCUUUGAUUCUGUGACUUUGGUCACUUCAUUCCGAUCAUCUCCAUGAUGCAUCCAUAUUAUACCUUCAUUCACUCCAUGUGAUAUACCAAAUAUCUUUAAGCCAAAUACACUACCUCUUUGUGCUCCAUCUUGUGUCACCUUGUGAACCAAUAGUUGUUUGGAUCAUUCCCAAACACUUAAUUCUCCUUGUUUUCGGCUUUACCCAAUAGUGGCAGCCAUGCUAGCCCAUGUAUUAGUAAACACCAGUUUUACUCUUGGGUUCAUGUUUCCACCCUUGUUGGAGUUCAAAUAACAUAAUCCUUUGGUUCAGACCAUACUUUGAGCACACUUCUUUUCAUCUCCUACCACUAGUUCUUUGAACUACGAAGCUCUGAAUUCCUCACUGCACUAUGAGGAUACAUAGGCAUGAAGGCCCUAAUCCUCACCGAGUACUUUAUCUAUUUAUUUUUCCUUUCCCUUCAUUCUUUUAAGAGUAAUCUUUAGAUAUCAUACCUAUUCGAGCGAGAAAAAUCAAAACGGUUCCCAUGGAGUACCAUGGAUGUUAGGGGUGCUAAUACCUUCCCCUUUCAUAACCAACUUCCUUACCAAGCAUGUCUCUUUCCCUCUAGUUUUAUCGAUUUUUCCGUUUCCUUCGAGAAUAAAUAAAGUUCGAUGGCAACUUUGUUGUAUGUUCGAGCGUGCGAUACGUUAUGGUAUACUUCCACUAGCUUCACUAAGAAUAUCAAUUUUACUUCCAUCACAAAAUCUGCAAACAUCAAAACAAAUCCAAAAUCAUUCUCCACUCUGAAAAUGUGAAAACAUGCUUAACUUAUAAUAAUAUAAAUUACUCCAGUUUUUCUGAUGUUAAUACCCAUACACAUGUUGAUGUUGCAGAAACUACAAACAGAAACUUGCUCUUGAGAUAGAUACACUAGAUACAUACAUAUCUCUAGAAGUAACAACAACAUGGUCUGGAUGUUCACCAUGAACAAAGAGAGUAACAUUACUAUUAACCAUAUCAUCAACAACACUACUCAUAGAGAUUUCCUUAGAACAGAAUGUUUGUCACAUAGAGAGAUUCAUUCCAUCAUUGUUUCCCAAAUGGUUGUAACUCAUUAUUGAUGUUGGCUAUGAAUUCAUCACAAAACAACACAAUUCAAGUACCAACAUAAGAAUACAUGUCUUACUUAAACCUUAAUGAUACAAAGCAAAAACUGUGUUUAUCAGCAGCAAUACCAUACUAAGAUAUUUUGUUCCUUAACUCAAACAAUGUUGACAUGGCUAAUUGAUAUCAGCAGCAAUACCAUACUCUCUUAAGAUUUGGACUUGUCUGAUUCCUCCUCCUCAUCCUUGACUGAACUUUCCGCCUAUCAACAUUAAGGAAAGUUAAGUGCAUAAACAAGACAAUCAAAGAGAAGAACCAGGAAAACUAAAAUCAUGAGAUAUACUUCUUUGUUAUUAUAAACAUUCCUAAGUUUUUCAUAUUCAACAAAGGAAAAACGUCCUAACUGAAGUAUACCUCGAAAAGGAAAGCAUUCAAAAAAGGGAAGUUAGAACAACACAAAAUAAAUUAUAAAUCUCUUCUUCAACAGAAUAUAUCAAAGAUUGCAUUGCUUAUAAACUUAGUCAAAGAUUUCCAUUUAUCUCCUUCAUCCUUCCCGAAGUUCAAUCAAAUUACACAAUAAUUUUUUCAGACGUGAUAGAAAAAGAUACAUAACAGCGCAAUUCAACAUGUAAACAACUUACAGUAGAUACAACCUUUAUAUUAGGAUUUUUUUUCCUUAAAAGUCUUUAUAAAAUCCUCACCCUAAAAGAACAGAAGAAGAUAAGUCAGAAAAUAACAAAACAAAAGAAGUUGUAACAGAAAGUGAGAAACACAUAAAUACAAAUAUGAAGACAAAGAAACCGAUCAGAGGCCUUUUUGACAGAGACCUUUCAUAGAACAAGUUGUGAGCAAAGUGCAAACCAUUGAUAACAGUAGCAAUCCUUUACCAAUUCAUAAUGUAACACCCUUCUAAAAUACCCCAAUAAUUAAUUAAAACAACAAAAUAUGAAUCAGAGUAGAUAUGCAAUUUCAGGGUGUCACACUUGACACUUCACACCAUUCACCAAAAUAACUUGUCAUCCGAUAGUUACAUAUACCAGAGCAUGACCCACUAAGGAACUACACUAGACUCCAAGCACUAGCUUCUACUCAAUCACUGCUCUUACCUAAACAUAGUUGUAAGGGUGAGUUCCUCAAUCGAUAUAAUAAGCAUUAUAAAAUAUCAUGUAAUGCUAAGUAAAUUAACACAUUCAUCACCCUAAUCAUAUCACACAUUCACGCAACGGCCACAUCAACUCAUAAUCAUACUCAACACAAACACAAAACACACGUAUAAUAUUGGAAUACAUCCAUUCAUAUUAUACGCCAUACAUACAUUAUGAAAUGAGAUCCAUGCCAGCGGUACCGACUAUUCGUGAACACAUAGUUCAACCUCACGAUCAAACCCAGAUACGGCUACCAAGCUCACUAGUCCACUCAUUUGAGACCUAGUGACUCACUCACUAAUUCCUCACCAUGGGAAUUAGCUACCACCAUUAAGGUUAUGCUAUGCACGCUAAAUCACCUAGCAUGCAACCAUCAACAACAAUCCACAAUGGACAUAUGCUCACACUCUAAGCCAUAAACAGUCCAUCCAUAAUUGCAUACAUAAUAGAUAUAUUCACAGCAUUAUGCAUACCAUCUACAUCAUCAACAUAUUUAUCACAGAAUCAUAUCAUGUCAUGCCAAAUAAUAAAUCACAGUAUUAGCACACUCUACUAAUACCUAUACCGCUCAAAACAACGGGAAAUGAUCCCUACUAUAUCAUACAUCAGCUAAAUUACAUCACUCAGCUGAAACGACCAAAAUGCACAACAACAGCUCAGAAAAAUCAAACUUCUGCCCAUACACGAUUGCCUCAUGCCCAUACGCGUAUGGCACAUUUCCUAGCCAAGCCCAUACACAUUCAUGCAAUAUAUCAUUCACCAAUAUAGGCCAAUCAUCAAAUAUGUACACAUAAUUCCAUUCCAAAACGUACACAAUAUUUAAAUAUCAAUUUUUCACUUUUCAAACAGUGUUAACCUGUUAACGCAUUGGUUAACCUGUUAACGCAAGACAUAAUACAAUUUUUACAGUAUUUCAACAGUGUUAACGCGUUAACGCCCUGGGUUAACCUGUUAACGCAAGACAGAAUACAAAUUUAACAGUUUUUCAACAGUGUUAACCGGUUAACGCCCUGGGUUAACCUGUUAACGCAAGACAGAAUGCAAUUCUAACAGUAUUUCAACGUGUUAACCUGUUAACGCCCUGGGUUAACCUGUUAACGCAAGACAGAAUACGCUUUUGGCAAAUUAUAACAGUGUUAACCUGUUAACGCCCUGGUUAACCUGUUAACGCCCUGGUUAACCUGUUAACGCAAGACAGAAAGCUGUUUCUGCGCUAACAACGAACAGAAUGCAGAAUUACCCGUAUUUUUCGCCGUUGGAGGACUUCCCGACCUCCGAUUUCGAUUCCGUAAAAAGCUACACGUCCAGAAAAUUACGACUCACCCAAAUAUAGAUUCAUUCACAGUUUUAACAUAAUUUAUUCAUCACAAUUCUAACCUAUUACAUCUAUUCCUACGAAUUUUCUUCAAUUAUAAACCCAUAUCUCAUUCAUCCAUAAGUUCACAAUUUGCAGCAUUCAUCAUCCUAAUUAGAGUCAAUUCAAUGGCUUAUUACUACCCAUUACAUGUUAACCAUAAUGCCCAUUAAACGACGAUAAACCCCCUUACCUGAGUUAAUCCGGCAAAUCUUUAACUUCAAGCUUUUCCUUCUUCACCCUUUUUCUCUUGCUCUUCCUUUUUGCCCUUUUCCACUUUUUAGUCGCUUCUCUGUUUUUCACGUGUAAAAACCUUUUUACUAAAUGGGACUCUUUACUGAUUCCAAAAAUCGUUCCAAUUCCAACUUUAUUAUUCCAAUAAUAAUAAUCCAAUAAUAUUCCAAUUAUUUAAUUAAAUUAAUAAAUAUACUAAUAAUAAUAUAUAUGAAUGGUUUAUCUUUUAUUUUGAAAAAUAAUACCCUCUCAUUCAUAUUAUCAUCAUAAUAUACUAUUAAACUUAAAUUAAAUAAUUAUCAUAUUUUAUCGGGGUGUUACAACUCUCCCCCACUAAAAGAGUUUUCGUCCUCGAAAACAUACCUCAAGCGAAUAACUCUGGAUAAGACUCCUUCAUCUGACUCUCAAGUUCCCAAGUCACAUUGCCACCUGCUGGUCCUCCCCAAGCUACCUUUACCAAAGCAAUCUCUUUACCCCGCAACUGCUUCAACUCUCGAUCCUCGAUCCUCAUAGGUGAUGUUUCAACAGUCAGGUUAUCUCUCACCUGUACAUCAUCUACUUGGACUACAUGCGACGGAUCAGGAAUGUACCUCCUCAACUGAGACACAUGAAAAACCUCAUGCAAAUUCGCAAGUGACGGCGGUAAAGCGACACGAUAGGCUACCUCCCCUAUCCUCUCCAAAAUCUGAUAAGGACCAAUAAAUCGAGGUGUCAACUUCUUCGACUUCAAAGCUCGACCAACCCCAGUUAUCGGAGUAACACGAAGAAACACAUGAUCUCCCUCUUGAAACUCAAGUGACUUCCUCCUCUUGUCGUGAUAACUCUUCUGACGACUCUGAGCAAUCCUCAUCUUCUCCUGAAUCAUCUUAAUCUUUUCCGUAGUUUGUUGAACAAUCUCCGGUCCAACCACAGCACUCUCACCGGACUCAUACCAACAUAAAGGUGUCCGACAUCUCCUACCAUACAAAGCUUCAAACGGUGCCAUACCAAUGCUCGAAUGAAAACUAUUGUUGUAGGUAAACUCAAUCAAAGGUAAAUAACAAUCCCAAGCACCUCCCUUUUCCAAAACACAAGCCCUCAAAAGAUCCUCCAGUGACUGAAUCGUCCUCUCAGUCUGACCAUCAGUCUGCGGAUGAUAUGCAGAACUCAAUCUCAGCUUAGUUCCCAAAGCCCUCUGCAAACCUUCCCAGAACUUCGAUGUAAAUCUAGGAUCUCUGUCCGAAACAAUACUCGACGGAAUACCAUGCAAACUUACAAUUUUCUCAAUAUACAACUCAGCUAAUCUCUCUAACGGAUAAUCCAUUCUGAUCGGAAUGAAAUGAGCCGAUUUUGUCAAUCUGUCAACAAUCACCCAAAUAGCUUCAAAAUUCUUAAUUGUCCUCGGUAAACCAGAAACAAAAUCCAUACUGAUACUAUCCCACUUCCACUCUGGAAUAGCCAACGGUUGCAUUAGCCCAGACGGCUUCUGAUGCUCAAUCUUUGACUUCUGACAAGUCAAACAAGAAUAAACAAAACUCGCAAUUUCUCUUUUCAUUCCCGGCCACCAAAAUAACUUUUUCAAAUCAUGAUACAUCUUCGUAGCCCCAGGAUGAAUACUCAGGCCACUACGAUGUCCUUCCUCAAGAAUACUCUUCUUAAGUUCGGUAACAUCCGGAAUACACACCCGAUUACCAAAUUUCAAAACACCAUUCUCAUCAACUCUGAAUUCACCACCUUGACCUUGAUUCACUAGAGUCAACUUAUCAACCAAAAGCACAUCGGAUUUCUGACCCUCUCUAAUCUCAUCCAGAAUACCACUCGUUAACUUCAACAUUCCCAAUUUAACACUAUUGUGAGUACUCUCACACACCAAACUCAAGUCUCUAAACUGCUCAAUUAAAUCCAAUUCCUUAACCAUUAACAUAGACAUAUGCAAUGAUUUCCGACUCAAUGCAUCAGCCACUACGUUUGCUUUACCCGGAUGGUAAUUCAAACCAAAGUCAUAAUCCUUCAGAAACUCUAACCAUCUCCUCUGUCUCAUAUUCAGCUCUUUCUGAUCAAACAAAUACUUUAAACUUUUAUGGUCACUGAAAACCUCAAAUCUUGACCCGUACAAGUAAUGCCUCCAUAACUUCAGAACAAAUACCACAGCUGCCAACUCUAAAUCGUGUGUCGGAUAGUUCCUCUCAUGAACCUUCAGUUGUCUCGAAGCAUAAGCUACAACCUGCUUAUUCUGCAUCAAAACACCACCCAAACCCAACAAUGAAGCAUCACAGUAAACCUCAAAUGGUUCCGACGGACUUGGUAAUAUCAGAAUAGGAGCAGUAGUUAACCUUCUCUUUAACUCUUGGAAACCUUCUUCACAUUUUGAGUCCCAAACAAACGCUUGCCCCUUUCUAGUCAACAUCGUCAACGGUAACGCCAACUUAGAAAAUCCCUCAAUGAACUUCCUAUAAUAACCUGCAAGUCCAAGAAAACUCCUUAUCUCAGAAACUGACUUCGGAGCUUCCCACUUAGAUACCGCUUCUAUCUUAGAAGGAUCAACAGCAACACCACCUCUUGAAACCACAUGACCAAGAAAACUAACCUCUUCUAACCAAAAUUCACACUUGGACAGUUUAGCAAAUAACUUCUUUUCUCGUAGAACUCCUAAAACCACUCUCAAAUGUUCAGCAUGCUCUUCUUCAGAUUUCGAAUACACCAAAAUAUCGUCAAUAAACACCACAACAAACUUGUCUAGGUACGGAUGGAAAAUCCUAUUCAUAUACUCCAUAAAUACCCCAGGCGCAUUAGUCACACCAAAAGGCAUUACAGAAUACUCAUAAUGUCCAUACCUUGUUCUGAAAGCAGUCUUCUGAAUAUCCUCAGUUUUCACACGUAUCUGAUGAUACCCCGAUCUCAAAUCUAUUUUGCUGAACACACUCGCACCAACCAACUGAUCCAUCAAAUCAUCAAUCCUCGGCAAAGGAUACCGAUUCUUGAUCGUCACUUUAUUCAGUUGCCUGUAGUCCACACACAACCUCAUAGUACCUUCUUUCUUCUUAACCAAUAACACUGGUGCGCCCCACGGUGACACACUCGGACGAAUAAAUUUCUUAUCCAACAGAUCUUCCAGCUGACUCUUCAAUUCAGUUAACUCAACAGCAGACAUACGGUACGGAGCCAUCGAUAUCGGCCUAGUACCAGGUACCAAAUCAAUCGAGAACUCAACUUCACGCUCUGGCGGUAAUUCAUUCACUUCUUCAGGAAACACAUCAGGAAAAUCACACACCACAGCUAGAUCGCAAAUCACCAGUUUAUCUUUAGCCUCCAAAGUCGCUAACAGCAUAAACAACUCUGCCCCAUCUGCUACUGCCUCAUUCACCUGCCUUGCUGAUAGAAACAAACUCUUUCCUUCCUCAAUCUCAGGAAAGAUCACAGUCUUAUCAAAACAGUUGAUAUAAACUCGGUUAAACACCAACCAGUUCAUACCCAGGAUAACAUCAAUCUGCACUAGUGGAAGACACACGAGGUCCAUCCCAAAGUCUCUACCAAAAAUACUCAAAGGACAAUUUAAACAAACUGAAGUAGUAGUCACUGAACCCUUCGCAGGAGUAUCAAUCACCAUACUCCCAUGCAUCUCAGAUAUCUCUAAUUUAAGUUUCACAGCACAAUCCAAAGAUAUAAAGGAAUGAGUCGCACCUGUGUCAAUAAUAGCUACAAGAGGAAAGCCAUUAAUAUAACACGUACCUCGGAUCAAACGAUCAUCUGCAGAAGUCUCAGAACCCGAUAAAGCAAAGACCUUGCCUCCCGACUGGUUCUCUUUCUUCGGCUUAGGACACUGUGGACUGAUAUGACCCACCUCUCCACAGUUGAAACAAGUCAUAGUCUUCAACCGGCACUCUGCAGCCAAGUGACCACCUUUGCCACACUUGAAACACUUCUUCUCAGUACUGGUACACUCAUGGAUACGAUGUCCAGCCUGACCACAUCUGUAACACUUAGCAGGGGCACUGGAGUCUCCCCCACUAGGUCUCUUCAUCCCACUCUGUCUCUGGAAACCUUUGCCAGCUGCAUACGGUUUCCCACGAUCAUUCUGAUUCUUGCCUUUCCUAUCAACCCUCUGCUGAUAGCUCUCCGCUCUGGCCUUGGUAUCCUGUUCAAAAAUCCUGCAACAGUCAACCAAGUCAGAAAACACUCUAAUCCGCUGAUACCCAAUAGCCUGCUUGAUCUCGGGACGUAACCCGUUCUCAAACUUCACACAUUUUGAAAAUUCCCCAGUAGCCUCAUCAUAGGGAGUGUAAUACUUCGACAGCUCUGUGAACUUAGCAGCAUACUCAGUAACAGACCGGUUGCCCUGCUUCAAUUCUAAGAACUCUAUCUCUUUCUUUCCUCUGACAUCCUCUGGAAAGUACUUCCUCAGGAAUCUCUCUCUGAACACCGCCCAAGUGAUCUCAGCACUCCCAGCAGCUUCCAACUCAGUGCGGGCAGCAACCCACCAAUCAUCUGCUUCCUCUGACAGCAUAUGCGUACCGAACCUGACCUUCUGGUUAUCGGCACACUCAGUCACUCGGAAGAUCCUCUCGAUCUCCUUCAACCACUUCUGAGCACCAUCUGGAUCGUAUGCUCCCUUGAACAUUGGAGGAUUGUUCUUCUGGAACUCACUCAGUUGACGAGCAGCUCCCAAUCCCACAACAUUCGGAUUCCCUCCAAGUACUCCAGCUAGCAUACCCAGAGCCUCAGCAAUCGCAGCAUCGUCUCUACCUCUUCCAGCCAUCUCUAUUCUGAAAACCCAACAAGCUAAAACAAUAAGUACUGAUAGGGUUACACAACACCUAUCACGUACAGGGAAACAGAAUAAUUACGACUCGACUCGACCGACUAUGCUCUGAUACCACUAAUGUAACACCCUUCUAAAAUACCCCAAAAAUUUAAUUAAAAUAGCAAUAUAUCAAUCAGAGUAAUUAUGCAAUUAAGGGUGUCACACAAUCAUUUCACACCAUUCACCAAAAUAACUGUCAUGCUCUUUUAUUAAUUCAAAACAUAAAGCAUUUGCACAAUACGCAGCGGAUAGAAAUCAAAUCAAUCAUGCAAAACAUGUAACACAUUACAUGUAAAAUUAUUCAACAAGGUAAAACAUCCCGUCCCGAUGUUACAUCUAUCAGAGCAUGACCCACUAAGGAGACUACACUAGACUCCAAGCACUAGCUUCUACUCAAUCACUGCUCGUUACCUGAAAAAUAGUUGUAAGGGUGAGUUCCUCAAUCGAUAUAAUAAGCAUUAUAAAAUAUCAUGUAAUGCUAAGUAAAUUAACACAUUUCAUCACCCUAAUCAUAUCACACAUUCAGCAACGGCAACAUCAACUCAUAAUCAUACUCAACACAAACACAAAACACACGUAUAAUAUUGGAAUACAUCCAUUCAUAUUAUACGCCAUACAUACAUUAUGCAAUGAGACUCCAUGCAUGCGGUACCGACUAUUCGUGAACAUAUAGUUCAACCUCACCGAUCAAAUCCAGAUACGGCUACCAAGCUCACUAGUCCCACUCAUUUGAGACCUAGUGACUCACUCACUAAUUCCUCACCAUGGGAAUUAGCUACCACCCCAAGGGCUAUGAUAUGCACGCUAAUCACCUAGCAUGCAAACAUCAACAACAAUCCACAAUAAUUCACUCACUAAUUCCUCACCAUGGGAAUUAGCUACCACCAUAAAGGCCAUACUAUGCACGCUAAAUCACCUAGCAUGCAAACAUCAACAACAAUCCACAAUGGACAUAUGCUCACACUCUAAGCCAUAAACAGUCCAUCCACAAUUGCAUACAUAAUAGAUAUAUUCACAGCAUUAUGCAUACCAUCAUACAUCAUCAGCAUAUUUAUCACAGAAUCAUAUCAUGUCAUGCCAAAUAAUAAAUCACAGUAUUAGCACACUCUACUAAUACCUAUACUGCUCAAAACAACGGGAAAUGAUCCCUACUAUAUCAUACAUCAGCUAAAUUACAUCACUCAGCUGAAACGACCAAAACUGCACAACAACAGCUCAGAAAAAUCAAACUUCUGCCCAUACACGUAUGCCUCAUGCCCAUACGCGUAUGGCACAUUUCCUAGCCAAGCCCAUACGCGUAUGGCCUGUCUCAUACGCGUAUGAUACGCGUACCACUUCUCCCAUACGCGUACCAACAGAGACAAAACUACGUUAGAACAUCAUCUUCUUCAUUCAUACGCGUAUGGCCUCACCCCAUACGCGUACCACUCACAGGCUACGCGUAAGUACACGCGUAUGGCGCGUAUCAGCACCAGUCUCCUCCCCUCCAGGCCAUCUCAUACGCGUAUGGCCUAGUGUCAUACGCGUAUGACCAGAAACCAAAAUUCCAGAUCUGCUAUGGGUUUUUCUCUGCUACGAGAUUUCUCAAAUCCAACCUCCCACAGUCCAAUUUUUACACAGCAUUCGUUCAUAUUAUCUAACACAGAUCAUACCCAUUCAAUUUCACAAUUUCUAACCUUAUUACAUCUAAUUCCUACGAAUUUUCUUCAAUUAUAAACCCAUAUCUCAUUCAUCCAUAAGUUCACAAUUUGCAGCAUUCAUCAUCCUAAUUAGAGUCAAUUCAAUGGCUUAUUACUACCCAUUACAUGUUAACCCAUAAUACCCAUUAAACGACGAUAAACCCCCCUUACCUGAGUUAAUCCGGCAAAUCUUCUUUGACCUUCAACAAUCGUGAAUUCUCCUCUUGAGCCCUAGCCUCUUCUUCUCCCUUUCUCAGUUUCUUCUCUUUUCUCCCAAUUAUUACGUGUUCUCUGUUUUCACGUGUAAAAACCUUUUUUCUAAAUGGGACUCUUUACUGAUUCCAAAAAUCGUUCCAAUUCCAACUUUAUUAUUCCAAUAAUAAUAAUCCAAUAAUAUUCCAAUUAUUUAAUUAAAUUAAUAAAUAUACUAAUAAUAAUAUAUAUGAAUGGUUUAUCUUUUAUUUUGAAAAAUAAUACCCUCUCAUUCAUAUUAUCAUCAUAAUAUACUAUUAAACUUAAAUUAAAUAAUUAUCAUAUUUUAUCGGGGUGUUACACAUAACCCACAACCUAAGCAUCAGUCAACAACAACAAAUUGACACAACAACGAAUUCGUAACAUUAAUUAGACGGAAAAAAAAGAAGAAAAAGACUUGCCGAAAAAGUUGAAUACGGGCCGACAAAAGAAAUAUCCCAACGCAACCACCUCCGACCAAAAUUUUCUUUCUUCCACCACCCUUCGACCCCACGAGUCUGAAUGCGACCAUCAUUGCAGACCGUGAUUCCACUCGCUGGAAUUGUGUCACCCCUUCGUCGGAAUCACGCGUCGCUACCGACAUUCAUUUUCUCCGAAAAAACACCUCUCGGUCAAUCCAUUUUUAAUUCCAUUCACGCUCUUUGAUUUGCUUUUAUGGUUUGAGAACAAGUGAUAUAUGGAGAAAGUGAUAAAAAAGGAAAAAGGAGAAGAAAACGAAUAAGGAAGAAGACGAAGAGAAAGAGGGAGACGACAAAGAGAGAG
rnacentral:lncRNA from 1 species